CGUUGUUUUCCCCAUUUCACAAAGACAGAAAUGAGGCACAGCGUGGUGGGGAGGAGAAGCCCAGGUGUCUAAGGCGGUGAAUUGUCCAGGCAUUUACCCAACAGUGAAACAUCUGGGUCACAUGGAAAGUCGAUGAUUUACGGCCGCCGGGCUGCCCUCCCCAGCAGCGGCUCCGUUUUAUUUUUCCACCAGCCUGUGAUGGAAGCACGCGUGUGCGGCACUGAUUCUCUGCUCCUCCCCAGUUAUCUUCAACUUCAUGAGCAAGAAGUCUCUAUGAAGAAAGACAAGGUUAUUGACCAACUCCUGUACGUCGUUUUCUUCUGCAGAAGAAAUUGUGACCUACCAUCCCUGGCUCAUAUGAAAUGCAUGUAUGUGCCUUUCUGACAGCAAUGACGGUACACUUAUGUUUCAACUUCUUCACAUGCCCUUAGCAACUAGGCCCAGCCAGAAAUGACCCUUAAAAAUCUUUCUUCUCUUGUUAAUUCAUGUUGACUCCAAUUUAAGACCACUUCUAACACAAACAAUU